rnacentral:rRNA from 1 species
UUUAUGGAGAGUUUGAUCCUGGCUCAGGAUGAACGCUGGCGGCGUGCCUAAUACAUGCAAGUCGAGCGAACGGAUGAGAAGCUUGCUUCUCUGAUGUUAGCGGCGGACGGGUGAGUAACACGUGGAUAACCUACCUAUAAGACUGGGAUAACUUCGGGAAACCGGAGCUAAUACCGGAUAAUAUUUUGAGCCGCAUGGUUCAAAAGUGAAAGACGGUCUUGC